rnacentral:tRNA from 1 species
GGGCCGGUAGAUCAGCUGGGAGAUCGCCCGCUUGGCGUGCGGGAGGUCGCGGGUUCAAAUCCCGCCCGGUCCACCA